AUGGUUGUCGUCAGCUCGUGUCGUGAGAUGUUGGGUUAAGUCCGCAACGAGCGCAACCCCUACGUUUAGUUGCUAACGCGUGAAGGCGAGCACUCUAGACGAACUGCCGUUGACAAAACGGAGGAAGGUGGGAUGACGUCAAAUCAUCAUGCCCCUUAUGUUCUGGGCUACACACGUGCUACAAUGGCCGGUACAGACGGACGCAAAGCCGCGAGGUGGAGCAAAUCCUAAAAAGCCGGUCUCAGUUCGGAUUGCAGGCUGCAAUUCGCCUGCAUGAAGUCGGAAUCGCUAGUAAUCGCAGGUCAGCAUACUGCGGUGAAUACGUUCCCGGGCCUU
rnacentral:rRNA from 1 species